rnacentral:lncRNA from 1 species
GUCCAUAGCUGUAGGCCGGUUACGUAGUCGUCUGGUUAUUGAGUAAUCACUAGUCUGUGGUUAAUUGUCAAACUAUGAAAUUAACCCCUGACGGAUACAUGUUAUUUCACAGUAGACAUGGUCAUUUAUUGGCUUCAGGGUAUUGUUACACAAUUGUGUAACAUAAUGCCUUCAAUCCUAAUAGAACGAAAGUUCAAUAAAAUGCGGUAUUUUUCUUCCUGUAGGUUAUUUUAAU